rnacentral:rRNA from 1 species
GACGAACGCUGGCGGCGUGCUUAACACAUGCAAGUCGAACGCUGAAGCUCAGCUUUUGUUGGGUGGAUGAGUGGCGAACGGGUGAGUAACACGUGAGUAACCUGCCCCCUUCUUUGGGAUAACGCCCGGAAACGGGUGCUAAUACUGGAUAUUCACUGGUCUUCGCAUGGGGGUUGGUGGAAAGGGUUUUUCUGGUGGGGGAUGGGCUCGCGGCCUAUCAGCUUGUUGGUGGGGUGAUGGCCUACCAAGGCUUUGGCGGGUAGCCGGCCUGAGAGGGUGACCGGUCACAUUGGGACUGAGAUACGGCCCAGACUCCUACGGGAGGCAGCAGUGGGGAAUAUUGCACAAUGGGCGCAAGCCUGAUGCAGCGACGCCGCGUGAGGGAUGGAGGCCUUCGGGUUGUGAACCUCUUUCGCUCAUGGUCAAGCCGCAACAAUGGUUGUGGUGAGGGUAGUGGGUAAAGAAGCGCCGGCUAACUACGUGCCAGCAGCCGCGGUAAUACGUAGGGCGCGAGCGUUGUCCGGAAUUAUUGGGCGUAAAGGGCUUGUAGGCGGUUGGUCGCGUCUGCCGUGAAAUCCUCUGGCUUAACUGGGGGCGUGCGGUGGGUACGGGCUGACUUGAGUGCGGUAGGGGAGACUGGAACUCCUGGUGUAGCGGUGGAAUGCGCAGAUAUCAGGAAGAACACCGGUGGCGAAGGCGGGUCUCUGGGCCGUUACUGACGCUGAGGAGCGAAAGCGUGGGGAGCGAACAGG